GGUUUUUUUUUUUUAAACAAGUAACUGCAUCUACUUGUGAAUGUGAAUACCCACGUUUUUUAGAUUUUAUCUAAACCUAUGCUAUCUAAACCUACGCACGAUCGGUAACCAUCUUGAACUGCUCAAAACUGACUAUACCAACUUAUAUAUUUUCCACUGAUACUCUAUACAUAAACCAAAGGCAGGCGUAUAUCAGAAAUUCAACAAAACUAUAGGAUUCUACAAAUUAUGGCUACUCACACUGAUUUCAGCAAGGAUAUAACAAUUUCGAAAAUGCAAUGGAAAUUGAAAGUUCGGGUUGUUCGUCUGUGGGAAGUCCCGGAUCGUUACAAUUCAGACACUACUUUCUCCAUUGAAUUGGUUCUACAAGAUGAAAAGAUUCAUAUUCUGUGCGCAAUACUUGGAAUAAAUCGAAGCUGUGGAUUAAUCCAAAUUUUCCUCAAUCUGAGGAGUUUAAAACACUGUUUAAUAUACAUAUUUUUCCCACCAACUAUACUCAAAUCUAUUUUUGAACUAUACAUCUGAUUGUUUUACUCUUUCUUUAAUACAGUUUACUUUCUGUUAGAGGUAAUUACUCUGAAAGGUUGACUCAAACCAUCUCUCAACAAAGCUACUCCGUCUCGGAUGAAUUAGCAAAAGGCGUUGUUCAAGUUAAAACAAUUGGCGAAUUAAUGGAGUCCAUGGAAGGCUCUACUGAAGAUAACGAGUUGAUCGAUAUUGCAAACACACCUGCCAAGAUAGGUACAGCUAUUGCCGCAACAGUGGUUGAAGAAGAUCCGAAUGCACAAUUGUCUGGAAAUAAGAUCAAGAGAGUGUUUAAAAAGAAGAAAACAACAUAAGGUGUUUGCAUAUGUAACAGUUGGAGAAACCAAACACGGUCUUAAAAGUUAGUUUAGUAGUUUUAUUAGUUAUGAACAACAUAUUUGUAUCAUUUCAUGUUUUCCCUGCUACCGAACU